rnacentral:lncRNA from 1 species
GAGGCAAGCAGAUAGAUCUUUGUGAAUUUGAGGUUAGCCUGGUUGACAGCCAGGCUGUUACACAGAGAAACCCUGUCUUCAAAGACAAAAAAAAAAUAUUUUAUAUGUGUGGGUGUUUUGUUUGUACAUAUAUUUACGGGCCACUUGCAUCAGAAGCCAGAAGAUGGCAUCAGAUCCUCUGGAACUGAAGUAUUGGAUGGUUGUGAGACACGGUAUGGGCUCUAGGAACGGAAUCAGGGUCCUCUGGAACAGCAGCCAGCUUCCCUAACUGCUGAAGCAUCUCUCUGGCUUAUGUAACCACAUGCAGAGACUCUGUAUCUAAACUCUGCAGCUUCUUUAAAUAUUUUGUAGCCAUUUGGUCACUUACCUAUCUACAUGUGCAUAAUGAACACACACACACACACACACACACACACACACACAGUGACAUGUAACCUGAAACUCAAAGUUAUUAUCUAAGACUAAAGUAAGAAGAUAAACCUUGCUUGCCAACAGCCAGGCCAUCAAAGGAAACUCAAAUUACUUGUAAAUUGUCGAAAACCAAAGUAACUUUUGAAUUUACUGUUACCUGAUACAUUCUGACAUCGUGGAAAGACACAAGAGUGUGCUAUGUUUCUGACACUCUGUAUUCACAACACCUGCCCAGAGUAGAGUAGAUCAAACCUGCCGGGGUCAACUAAACAUGCCCACUGUCUCCUAGGUCAACUAAACAUGCCCACUGUCUCCUAGGUCAACCAAACAUGCCAAACACUGUCCCCUAGGUCAACCAAACAUGCUAAAAUACUGUCCCCUAGGUCAACUAAACAUGCCAAACACUGUCCCCUAGGUCAACCAAACAUGCCAAACACUGUCCCCUAGGUCAACCAAACAUGCCAAACACUGUCCCCUAGGUCAACCAAACAUGCCAAACACUGUCCCCUAGGUCAACCAAACAUGCCAAACACUGUCCCCUAGGUCAACCAAACAUGCCAAACACUGUCCCCU